rnacentral:rRNA from 1 species
UACGGGGGGGGCAAGCGUUGUUCGGAAUUACUGGGCGUAAAGGGCUCGUAGGCGGCCAACUAAGUCAUACGUGAAAUCCCGAGGCUCAACCUCGGAACUGCCUUCAAUACUGGAAGUCUUGAGUCCGGGAGAGGUGAGUGGAACUCCGAGUGUAGAGGUGAAAUUCGUAGAUAUUGGGAAGAACACCGAUGGCGAAGGCAGCCAUCUGGACCGACACUGACGCUGAGGCGCGAAAGCGUGGGGAGCAAACAGG